CCUACGGGAUGCAGCAGUGAGGAAUAUUGGUCAAUGGGCGUAAGCCUGAACCAGCCAAGUCGCGUGAGGGAUGAAGGUUCUAUGGAUCGUAAACCUCUUUUAUAAGGGAAUAAAGUGUGGGACGUGUCCUGUUUUGUAUGUACCUUAUGAAUAAGGAUCGGCUAACUCCGUGCCAGUAGCCGCGGUAAUACGGUGGUUCCGAGCGUUAUCCGGAUUUAUUGGGUUUAAAGGGUGCGUAGGCGGCCUUUUAAGUCAGCGGUGAAAGUCUGUGGCUCAACCAUAGAAUUGCCGUUGAAACUGGGAGGCUUGAGUACAGUUGAGGUAGGCGGAAUUCGUGGUGUAGCGGUGAAAUGCUUAGAUAUCACGAAGAACCCCGAUUGCGAAGGCAGCUUACUAAACUGUGACUGACAUUGAUGCUCGAAAGUGUGGGUAUCAAACAGGAUUAGAUACCCGAGUAGUC
rnacentral:rRNA from 1 species